CGAACGCUGGCGGCGUGCCUAAUACAUGCAAGUCGAACGGGAAAUCCGGUCUUCGGACUGGAGAGUAUAGUGGCGAACGGGUGAGUAACGCGUGGAUAAUUUAACCUCGAGUGGGGAAUAACAUCUCGAAAGGGGUGCUAAUACCGCAUAAUGUUUAUUUGUCGCAUGGCAGAUAGACUAAAGGUGGCCUCUCGAUGAAGCUAUCGCUUGAGGAGGAGUCCGCGUUCCAUUAGCUUGUUGGUGAGGUAAAAGCUCACCAAGGCUUCGAUGGAUAGCCGGCCUGAGAGGGUGACCGGCCACACUGGGACUGAGACACGGCCCAGACUCCUACGGGAGGCAGCAGUAGGGAAUUUUGCACAAUGCCCGAAAGGGUGAUGCAGCGACGCCGCGUGGGUGAUGAAGGUUUUCGGAUCGUAAAACCCUGUCGAGAGGGAAGAAACCUCUGGGACUAAUACUCCUGGAGUCUGACAGUACCUCUGGAGGAAGCCCCGGCUAACUAC
rnacentral:rRNA from 1 species